UCCUACGGGAGGCAGCAGUGGGGAAUAUUGCACAAUGGGCGCAAGCCUGAUGCAGCCAUGCCGCGUGUAUGAAGAAGGCCUUCGGGUUGUAAAGUACUUUCAGUGGGGAGGAAGGCGAUGNAGUUAAUAGCUUCGUCGAUUGACGUUACCCGCAGAAGAAGCACCGGCUAACUCCGUGCCAGCAGCCGCGGUAAUA
rnacentral:rRNA from 1 species